CCUACGGGUGGCAGCAGUGGGGGAUAUUGCACAAUGGGGGAAACCCUGAUGCAGCGACGCCGCGUGAGUGAAGAAGUAUCUCGGUACGUAAAGCUCUAUCAGCAGGGAAGAAAAUGACGGUACCUGACUAAGAAGCCCCGGCUAACUACGUGCCAGCAGCCGCGGUAAUACGUAGGGGGCAAGCGUUAUCCGGAUUUACUGGGUGUAAAGGGAGCGUAGACGGCAGUUCAAGUCUGGAGUGAAAGCCCGGGGCUUAACCCCGGAACUGCUUUGGAAACUGUGCGGCUGGAGUGCAGGAGAGGUAAGCGGAAUUCCUAGUGUAGCGGUGAAAUGCGUAGAUAUUAGGAGGAACACCAGUGGCGAAGGCGGCUUACUGGACAGUAACUGACGUUGAGGCUCGAAAGCGUGGGGAGCAAACAGGAUUAGAUACCCCUGUAGUC
rnacentral:rRNA from 1 species